rnacentral:rRNA from 1 species
UUAUUAUGAAUAAAAAACAAGCUAUAAACCAAAGAAUUUACUAAGAAAAAUCUUGUAAAUAAACAAGGUGAAAGGAAAAAUCUGAAUAACCUUAGGAAAAUAAAUCAAACGAGAUUCUACAUACAAUGUGAAGUAAAGUAGAAUAGCCUAUUAAUAUAUAAGUAAAAUGGAUUAUCUGUUUGAAUAAAGGGGAACCUUCCUCUAAGGCUAAAUAUGGUAUUAUACGCAAUAGUGAAUAGUACCGUGAGGGAAUUUUAUUUAAUAGUAGUUUUAUAAGCAGCUCAAGAAAAAUUUUAACAAAUAACAAGAGCGUACCUUUUGCAUAAUGGGUCAGCAAGUUAAUUUUAGAUGCGAGAAACAAAAUUAUAAGUUUAACAUAUAAAAUAUAGUUAUAACAUAAUGAUUUAGUUUCGUAGAGAAAUCGAUUAUGAAAAAAUGAGAAAGUAUCUAAGAUUAGACCCGAAGACUAGUGAUCUUACCAUUAUCAGGAUUAUAAAAGUCCGAACGGGUUAUCGUUGUAAAGAUAUCCGAAGAAUAAUGGUAAGUUAGUGAAAGACAAAACUGACUAGUUGAGCUGGUUUUCCGCGAAACCUAUAUAAGUAGGUAAUUUAAACAACAUCUUGGCAGGUACAGAACUGUGAUCUCGGUCAAAAUAUUUAUAAUGUAACUACAUUAUAAAUUUGUAUAUAUCGGGGGAUCGUAAAGAUUUUAUCGGAGAGUAUUUGCACUCGGAAGGGCUAAGAUGAAUAUUAAAAAAUCGGACAUAGUACGAUAAGGUUGUAUGUCAAAAGGGAAACAGCCCAGAACAAGAGUUAAUAAGGUUCCAAAAUUAUUGUUGAGUGAAAUUAAGGAUGUGUCUUUCGAUACGAUCAAUUAAUAGGCUUGGAAGCGGCCACAUUUUAAUGAUCUCGUAACAGAGCAUUGAUUUUUUAAGAAGAUCACACCGAAAAUAUAACGGAUCUAAACAAUAUACCGAAACCUUGUCCAUAUAUAGUUUAUUUUUUAACAAAAUAUAUAUGGGGUAGCGGAACAAUGGAUAAAUCAUAAUUAUUUUUUUUUAAAUUUUAAUUUUUUAUCUUCCAUGUGAUAAUGCUGACAUGAGUAACGAAAAAGAUACUCGCCUAAAGCUUAUGGUAUUUAAUAAAAACGGCUUCUAAUACAUAUAAAUCAUUUCUGGUUUUUAAUGAUGAAUAUAAUUAAAAUUUUAAUUGACUUAAGUCAAUUGAAUAUAUUAUAAAGAUGAAGAUGAAAUAUUAAAAAAACUAAUUAAAGUUAAAUUAGUUCAGGAAAUUACCAAGAAAAAAAAAUUUUUUUUUUCUUUUUAACCGUACCUAGAUACUAACACAAGUAAGCUAGUAGAGAAUACGAAGGCGUUUGAGUAAUCAAUCAUUAAGGAACUCGGCAAAAUGACUCGCGUAACUUCGGGAUAAGGUGAGCCAUUCUUUUUAAGUUUUUACUAUACUGUUAAUAAGAAAAUAGAGGUAUAAUCCCUGCUAUCUAAAUUAAUAGUAUAUGUAGAACCAAAGGAAUAGGAGGCAUAGAAUAGUGUUGUACGACUGUUUAUUUAAAACAGAGCACUCUGCUAAGAUAGAUAUCGAUAUAUUGAGUGUGAUGUCUGCCCGGUGUCGGCUGGGUGACGGAUUUGCUUAGAAUUAAAAAGCUAGGCUUUGAAGAGAUCCCCGACAAACGGCGGCCUUACCGAUGAGGGUCCUAAGGUAGCGGAAUACCCUGGCCGUUAAAUGCGGUCUUUGCAUGAAUGAUGUAACGAUACAACAGCUGUCUCGAUGAUUGGCUCAGUGAAAUUGGAAUAGCAGUGCAGAUACUGUUUACCUCUAGAUAGACGAGAGUGCGACUAGAAAGUGCAUAAUAAUA